rnacentral:rRNA from 1 species
GCGAACGCUGGCGGCAGGCCUAACACAUGCAAGUCGAACGGAUCCUUCGGGAUUAGUGGCGGACGGGUGAGUAACACGUGGGAACGUGCCCUUUGGUUCGGAACAACCCAGGGAAACUUGAGCUAAUACCGGAUGUGCCCUUCGGGGGAAAGAUUUAUCGCCAUUGGAGCGGCCCGCGUCUGAUUAGCUAGUUGGUGAGGUAACGGCCCACCAAGGCGACGAUCAGUAGCUGGUCUGAGAGGAUGAUCAGCCACACUGGGACUGAGACACGGCCCAGACUCCUACGGGAGGCAGCAGUGGGGAAUCUUGCGCAAUGGGCGAAAGCCUGACGCAGCCAUGCCGCGUGAAUGAUGAAGGUCUUAGGAUUGUAAAAUUCUUUCAGCGGGGACGAUAAUGACGGUACCCGCAGAAGAAGCUCCGGCUAACUUCGUG